rnacentral:rRNA from 1 species
AUUGAACGCUGGCGGCAUGCCUUACACAUGCAAGUCGAACGGCAGCACGGGAGCAAUCCUGGUGGCGAGUGGCGAACGGGUGAGUAAAGUAUCGGAACGUGCCCAGUCGGGGGGGAUAACGUAGCGAAAGUUACGCUAAUACCGCAUACGAUCUAUGGAUGAAAGCGGGGGAUCGCAAGACCUCGCGCGAUUGGAGCGGCCGAUAUCAGAGUAGGUAGUUGGUGGGGUAAAGGCUCACCAAGCCGACGAUCUGUAGCUGGUCUGAGAGGACGACCAGCCACACUGGGACUGAGACACGGCCCAGACUCCUACGGGAGGCAGCAGUGGGGAAUUUUGGACAAUGGGCGAAAGCCUGAUCCAGCCAUGCCGCGUGCAGGAUGAAGGCCUUCGGGUUGUAAACUGCUUUUGUACGGAACGAAAAGGUUUGGCCUAAUAAGCUGAGCUCAUGACGGUACCGUAAGAAUAAGCACCGGCUAACUACGUGCCAGCCGCCGCGGUAA